GCCUUCGUGAUGUAGUGGUCAGCAGACUUAACCCGUAUUCGAGGGGUCCGUGGUUAGAGUCCCGGCGAGGGCA
rnacentral:tRNA from 1 species